rnacentral:piRNA from 1 species
UGAGCUGUCAUUCUUUGGCCAUGGA